UUCUCAUAAGAGUAAUUUAAAUUAAUCAAAACAGCUGAAGUGCCUGUAAUAGAUGUAACUCGGUAUCCGUUCGUAGGUUUGCGCCGUUUCUAGUUGGUUGCGCGUUUAGGAACAACAAAUUUAUUCGAAGACGUAAGAUACCGAUAAUGCAUCACCGUACAGCAGCAUUUACUCGUAUCAUUGUGAGCCAUAUUUCAUUUGUUAAAAUUUGUCGUCGUAUUUCUUCAAAAAUAAAAGCGCAAGUCGGCGUACUUGAAUUGAUCUCCAAGAACUGCUUACGUCGAACGUCUGCAAAUGUUGUACUUAUGUGCCUUCGCGCACCAUAGUAGGCACAAAGCAUAUCUGAUUAGAAUAAAUACUUCAAGAGGAAGUCAUUCAAAUACAUUGUUAUUUAUAGCUGGUUUUCCAUUCCAGGCAUGGUAUGUGGCUGCACGAAGGAUUCCGAAAAAGAAAAACAACAACAUGGCUAAUAGGAUGUUGCUGCCCAGGGAGUCCUGGCGAAGAGGUUUACUCAUUCCAGAAGCAAGAAUUGUAUCAUUGUAAGGCGAAUGGAAAUAAACUGACAUCGACUGA